UGCAUAAUUUUAGAUCAAAUAUAAAUCCAUGAAAAAAAAAAUCAAAAAAAGUUACUAAUGAGGAUUUACAUAAUCGUAAAAGUUACAUAUAUCAAUUUGUGAUAACUUAUAUAUGUUAAAUUGGUCAAUGUCUAGUCAUACGCCAUCUUCCAGACUCCACAACUCUUAAGUGAAUAAAAUAAGGACUAUCACAACAAGAAUAAGAUACAUUAGUUAUUAUCUUAAUGUUGAAAUAUAUGAAACAUAAUACACCCAAACAUUUGGAUACUUGGAGUGACACAUUUUUAAUCUGUAUGAGGUUCUCAAAUGCUCAAAUCGAUCUUCCUUAAUUAAAGACCUAAAUACUCCAAUGUUUUCUAAGAAUUAGGAAAAAAGAAGAGAUUCCAGAUACUUUAUCCUCAACAAGUGAUGCUCGAUUUCUGAUAUAUACGGGGAUGAUGAUGGCAUAAAAAUGUAUCCUAAAAAGCGAACCAAACCAAGUUAAGUUUCAUACGAGAGUAUAAAGUGGAUUCUUUCUUAGUGUAGGAAUCUAUUCAUGUAUAUAUAACAAUGAAUAUAUUCAAAGGUUUAAAUUAUGACGGGAUCCAUUCACUUUGAUUACAAAUUAUAAUAGGUACUGCAACAAUUUAUAGUUACUACCAUACAACUAAAAUAAAUAUAAAAAAACACAUUUACACAGUUUAAUAAUUCUAAGAGAGACAAAUUUAAUAUUUAGAUGUGCUUUUAAUUGGACAAUUGCUUAGGCCUAAGAUGAUUCUUCAAUCAUUAAGACCGGAAGAAGUGGACUUCUAUGUUCCCCAAGAGUUAGUACGAAAAGAAGAUAGAGGAAAUCGAAGGAAGAUACUUCUAAAUUGAUGUUCCAUAUCAAGAGAUGUUUGGAUUUCGAAUUCCACCAGGGACGACGGGAUGAAAAUUCAUCCGAAGAAAACUACCAGGCUUUAUAAGGGAGUACAGUUGACUCCUUCCUUGGGACGGAGAUUCCAGCCCUCCAAAAUUUCAGGUGUUGACAACUCUUUAUGAUUGCAAUUUAAUUCCUGAACAUCUAUCCUUAAAUAAUAGACCACCUUAAGAAAAUACUCCCUCAACCGUAGCAGAUGACAGCAGUCUAUAAAUCAGAAGGUAACAUUUUGUGCUUGAUUAGAUCUAACUGUAAUUCUGCCAAAUAUUCAAAAAUCUUUGAAUAACAAUUAUUAAAUUGAUAGAAUUCACAUUACCAAUGAAAAUAAGAUAAUAUUAAGUGCUAAUGGGUAGUGGUUCCCAAACAGGGUGUCUUGCGGCAAGUUCAAGUGUCCCACACGAUUUGUAACAACUGUACAUUAUUUGCAAUAGCUUAUAAUAAUCAAAAUAACACAGGUGAACACUAUA
rnacentral:lncRNA from 1 species